rnacentral:rRNA from 1 species
CCUACGGGAGGCUGCAGUGGGGAAUAUUGGACAAUGGGCGAAAGCCUGAUCCAGCCAUGCCGCGUGUGUGAAGAAGGCCUUCGGGUUGUAAAGCACUUUCAGUGGGGAAGAAAGCCUUGGGGCUAAUACCCUCGAGGAAGGACAUCACCCACAGAAGAAGCACCGGCUAACUCCGUGCCAGCAGCCGCGGUAAUACGGAGGGUGCGAGCGUUAAUCGGAAUUACUGGGCGUAAAGCGCGCGUAGGCGGUCUGAUAAGCCGGUUGUGAAAGCCCCGGGCUCAACCUGGGAACGGCAUCCGGAACUGUCAGGCUAGAGUGCAGGAGAGGAAGGUAGAAUUCCCGGUGUAGCGGUGAAAUGCGUAGAGAUCGGGAGGAAUACCAGUGGCGAAGGCGGCCUUCUGGACUGACACUGACGCUGAGGUGCGAAAGCGUGGGUAGCAAACAGGAUUAGAUACCCCUAUAGUC